GUACGGGAGGCAGCAGUGGGGAAUAUUGCACAAUGGGGGAAACCCUGAUGCAGCGACGCCGCGUGGAGGAUGAAGGCCUUCGGGUUGUAAACUCCUUUUCUUGGGAAAGAUGAUGACGGUACCCAAGGAAUAAGCCACGGCUAACUCUGUGCCAGCAGCCGCGGUAAGACAGAGGUGGCAAGCGUUGUUCGGAAUUACUGGGCUUAAAGGGCGAGUAGGCGGUGGGACAAGUCUGAUGUGGAAUGUUAGGGCUUAACCCUAAAACUGCAUUAGAAACUGUUUUACUUGAGUCAGUGAGGGGAGGGCGGAAUUCCCGGUGUAGCGGUGAAAUGCGUAGAUAUCGGGAGGAAGGCCGGUGGCGAAGGCGGCCCUCUGGCACUGUACUGACGCUGAGGCGCGAAAGCGUGGGGAGCAAACAGGAUUAGAUACCCCGGUAGC
rnacentral:rRNA from 1 species